GGCGUUUCUAAGGGGGAGGGGCCUUGACUCGGCCGGAAGUAGCGUUGGCGCGGGAGCUGAGCGGAGUGGCGUUGCCACCGGAGGGGAAGGGCUGCUGGCGUUAGGCCUAGCUGGGUCGUGCGGCUGAGCGUGAGGCUAGAAAGAAAAAGCGAUCCUCCAAGAGUGAGAACGGGAGAUCUGCCGAGGAUAACAACCUCCCUUGUGGCCGAAGGGCGGGGGAUCCCCACACGAGGGCUCCGCUUCGAGAGACGGCGACAAAGGAAAGUUCGUAGCGCGUUCCGGAGGCCCGGCCACCUCUGAGAAGGGAGACGACGCUGCUGGGUCCGCUGAGCGGGGCGACCCGAGGUUAGUGAAGACGGAUGCUGUCUUUUGAAGGCCUUAGUCCCUGCCCUGGUGAAGCCGACUGCGAGGUUCCGCAGGGCGUGCAGGCAGCCCGGGGAUCGCUGCGAAGGGGGGUGCGGGCUAACUUAGCUGCUGCCGUUUCUAGAUGUGCAGCUGUGGAGGCCCUGUUUACAAGUGUGCAUAAGGACAGUGUAUUAAGGGAGAACUCAAGAGAAUGGAAAGGUCUUUCGGGUAGUGGUUAAAAUAGAGAAGAGUAGGAACUAGGUUUUUAAAUUUUAAAUGAAAUUGUAUCAGACAGAACUUCUGUUGGAUCUCAGGAUGCACCAUCCAAAAAUAGGACUGUAGGAAACCAAAAUAUGCCACCCUACAAUAUACUUCUAGGGUAUAUUUUGAGCUGGUAUUCUGAUAAAAUGCAGACACAGGAGUCGCUCUGAAAAUCUGUCCUGUUGUAAAAGAAAUUGACAUCUACAGAGGAAAUAUACAUCAGUAAAGGAUCUGUAUCAGAAAGAGGGCAGCUCUGCGAUAAUUUUUGUUACCUGGGAGAUCUUAUCUGCAUACCAAGACAACUUUUAUUCACCGUAUAUUUCCUCCCCUCACCUUUCCACAACUUUGUGGCCACCAUCCCCCAGAAAGCCGCAAGCACCCAUUUCUUGAGUAGCGUAGGAUGCUGUAUAAUCUUCAAUCAUCUGACCAUGGUGGGACUCCUCUGCGUAUGUAAUUAAGUACGGGUUUUUUUUCUUGUUAAUGUCUAUGUCAGGUUAAUUUGUAACCCAGCCAAAGAACCUAGGAGGAUGGAGGGAAGCCGUUUUUCCCUCUCCUACACCUCAGUAACCUACUGCCAGCUGAAGAAAUAGAACGUUACUAAAGCCACCUGUACAUCUUUCUCCUUUUGAAUUACCUGCCCUCCGAAGAACUUAUAUAGAAUUGGUGAUAGGAUCACAACUUCUGAGGUCCCAGCAAGAGUCCUAACAUCUAGCAGCUCUACCACCAGGACAGGCCCCCUAAAACUAAGUCCAACAAGCACCUCUGAAGGUUAAGGCUACCUUUCCAGAUAGUCCAACAGCUAAAUCACCAGUUUCCAAGGGCAUUUGCAUCACCUAUGGAAAGCAUCGGAUCCUUAUACACCAGAUGUUCUUGACAGCUCAUCCCGUCAUUCCCCCCUGCACAAAAGUUGCUAUACCAGCGGACAAGCAAGACAACUACUGAGCUUCUUUUGAUUGUCAAGUAGAUAUAAUAUCACUGCCAGCAAAACAGCACAAAAAGUGUCUCUUCACAGUAUCACUACCAGUUGGGACUAUGCUAAGUAAAUCAGCUUGCCUAGAUGAGGACCCCUUCUCUUCUUGGGUAGCCAGGAUUUGAAGGAGAUACUCUGACCUGUGCCACUGGUAAGUGACUAAUACUUUUACACACUGAACUGGUCCUGGAAACAGAUGUCUUCUUUGUAAGUGAAGAAUAUACAACAUAAUCUUGAAGAACGGCACAGUGGUGUGGGCCACAAGCAUACUUUAUGUGUUUAACGGACUGAAAGACAAAUUAAUCUUGGCGAAAGGAUUUUUCAUCUCUUAUUUCUAUUUGCCAGUGUUAGUCAGUGUUCUGCUGGCUUAGAUUAUUACCUUUUUCUGGUUCCUUACUCUGUUUUAUUCUGAUGGGUCCUAGAAAUCCCUCUCCUGACCACUUGUCAGAAUCAGAAAGUGAGGAAGAAGAAAAUAUUAGCUACCUAAAUGAGAGUUCUGGGGAAGAGUGGGAUUCCUCUGAAGAAGAGGACUCUAUGGUGCCCAACUUAUCGCCUCUUGAGAGUCUUGCCUGGCAGGUUAAGUGCCUUUUAAAAUAUUCCACAACUUGGAAACCUUUAAAUCCUAAUUCCUGGUUGUAUCAUGCUAAACUCUUGGAUCCAAGCACACCAGUCCAUAUACUUCGAGAGAUAGGUCUAAGACUCUCCCAUUGUUCCCAUUGUGUCCCCAAACUGGAACCAAUUCCUGAAUGGCCGCCUCUGGCCUCUUGUGGAGUCCCACCUUUUCAAAAGCCUCUUACAAGUCCCAGCCGGCUCUCUAGAGAUCAUGCCACUCUAAAUGGAGCACUGCAAUUUGCCACCAAACAGCUAAGCCGAACAUUGAGUAGAGCCACUCCCAUACCUGAAUACCUAAAACAGAUCCCUAAUUCAUGUGUUUCUGGGUGUUGCUGUGGCUGGCUGACUAAAACAGUUAAGGAAACAACUCGUACUGAACCCAUCAACACUACUUAUUCUUACACUGACUUCCAAAAGGCAGUUAACAAACUCCUAACUGCAUCACUGUAAAGAUCUACCAUUUGCUCUGAUAUCUCUGAUGUUGCUAAUUGAGAAAGUGGACAAAGUUAGUCAUUAUACAGCCCACUAAUGCCUUCUCAGUCAAACUCUCUUAUGCCCUGGCAAGCCAAUGAGGAUACCCUUUGACAAACCCUGUGGAUAAAAUGAUAAUAUCAAGGUCAGGCAUGGUGGCUCACACCUGUAAUCCCAGCACUUUGGGAGGCUGAGGUGGGUGGAUCUGCUGAAGUCAGAAAUUUGAGACCAGCCUUGCCAACACAGUGAAACCCCGUCUCUACUAAAAAUAAAAAAAUUAGCCGGGCGCAGCAGUGCACGCUUGUAAUCCCAGCUACUCGGGAGGCUGAAACAGGAGAAUCACUUGAACCCAGGAGACGGAGGUUGCGGUGAGUCGAGAUUGUGCCACUGUACUCCAGCCUGGGUGACAGAGCGAGACUCAGUCUCAAAAAAAAAAAAAAAGAAUUAGUUAAGGGGACCAUAUUACAAAAGAUAGUUGAAUAUUCUUCACACUCACUUCUCACCCUCCCCACCCCAAUUUACUCUGCCUUUCUGAAUGGCUUUAAUGAGAUAUCUGAUUAUUAAUGAAGAAAAGUAGACCACCACCCCUUUUGUUAUCCAGACUUCAGAACAGCCAUUGUUGAAAGCAAGAAGUUAGCUACCCACAAUAAUACCUUUCUGAGCAUACUCUUCUCUAACAUGCAUUUCUAUGGAAGUAGUUGAAUUAAAUUGAGUAACUACACAAAGGAAAAUGGCAGGGCUAUGAAUUUCUUUCCCAGCUUUUAUAUAGAUGUGCCUACAUAUGACACUCUUUAGGGUUCCUUUUAUUUUAUUUAUUUUUUUUUUUUGAGGUAGUUGAAUUAAACUGGGUAACUACACAAAGGAAAAUGGCAGGGAUAUGAAUUUCUUUCCCAGCUUUUAUAUAGAUGUGCCUGCAUAUGACACUCUUUAGAGUUCCUUUCAUUUUUUCUUUUUUUUGGAAGGGGGCAGGGAGGCAGGAGGAGUGCAGUUUUAAGCCUAGCCUAUACUUCUACAAACUUAUUAUGGUACUUAAAAUUACAGCAUGAACGUUCUAUAUCAGAGUCUCCCACCAGGCUGUCUCUGGCUAAAUCAGCCUAUAAGAUCAUCCCUUGGGAUUAAACAAACACCUGUUCUGUAGGGAAUGUGUUUCCUGAAUCUUGGUACUCAGACUUUUGUCAAGAGUAAAUAAAAUUUCAAAAGAUGAAUGGAAAAAUGAUUAAGAGAGCAUUUCUGCUUUCAGUAUUAACUGCUAAUGGAUUAAAAUUUUAAUCUGUAUAGCAUUUCCUGGAGUAAAAGUUCAAGUACUUUCCACAUCCAUUGCAAACUUUUCAGGAACCCUUCUAAUUUUUUUUUUUUUUUUUUUUGAGACGGAGUCUUGCUCUGUCGCCCAGGCUGGAGUGCAGUGGCACGAUCUCAGCUCACUGCAAGCUCUGCCUCCCGGGUUCGUGCCAUUCUCCUGCCUCUGCCUCCCGAAUAGCUGGGACUACAGGUGUCCACCACCACGCCCGGCUAAUUUUUUGUAUUUUUAGUAGAGACGGGGUUUCACCGUGUUAGCCAGGAUGGUCUUGAUCUGCUGACCUCGUGAUCCACCUGCCUCGGCCUCCCAAAGUGCUGGGAUUGAACCCUUCUAAUUUUAAAGAACCUUCUUAUUAGAAAAUCUCAGCCUAAUACAAUCUGAAGUUAAGAGUUUUAGCAGCAUUGUUUUUCUAAGUAGAUUUAGCUAUAGAUUUUCUUCUGGCCAAACAAGGAAGAGUAUAUGCCCUUGUAAAUGAGUCUUGUUUUGUUUAUUUAAAUAAUCAGUCAAAACAUAGAAAUCAGUAUACGUAAAAUAAAAUGCAUGAGACUAUUAAAUCUUUUCAUAUACUCUACAAAUAAAAUGAAAUCUGUGUGUGGUCCUGGUUGACUGGGCAUCUAAAGGGAAUUAGAAAAGAGAUUAUGAAAAGUAUAUAUAUAUAUAUAUAUCCUCUUCCUUAUUUUAGUUUUGCUUUUUCCUAUUUUCCAUAAUUAAGUGCCGUUUACAAAGUGGCAUCAAAAAAUUGAAGCAGGCCAGGCAUGGUGGCUCAUGCCUGUAAUCCCAACAGUUUGGGAGGCUGAGGCAGGUGGAUCACUUGAGAUCAGGAGUUCGUGACCUGCCUGGCCAACAUGGUGAAAGCCCAUCUCUACUAAAAAUAUAAAAAUUAGCCGGGCAUGGUGGCGUGUGCCUGUAAUCGCAGCUACUUGGGAGGCUGAGACAGGAGAAUUGCUUGAACCUGGGAGGUGGAGGUUGCAAUAAGCCAAGAUCGCGCCACUGCACUCCAGCCUGGGCAACAGUGAGACACCGUCUCAAAAAAAAAAAGGCAGUUAGGAAUCAUAAAUUGUGUAAAUAUAUAGCAACUUUAAGAAGAGAGAAGAAUGCUUAUAACCUAGUGAAUAUUUCUGCUGAGCCUUAGUUGUCUUGUCUAAAGGAAAAAAGAGGGAAUUGUAGAAUAAAAGUAUUAGUGGAAAUUAUUGACCUGAAACCAUAUCAUAUUGUUAGUGUAACUGAAUGUAUCAGAAAUUGUUCCUAUGUAGGUAUUCUGUGAAACUGGUUUCUAAAAUGUUACAGGAAACUGUUUCCUUUUUUGUUUGUUUGUUUGUUUAAGUGGAGGUGGGAGGAGGUAGGGAAGAGGUCUGAAUAUUAAAAUAUGUUGAUGUUUAUGUGUUCAUAAUACGUUCCUUUUUCUCUCUUAUGUGUGUAUAAAAGUGCCUUGCUCAUGAAUGCAUUUUUGCUAUUCACUUCGAAAGGAAGCCUUUCCCCAGCUUGGCAGCUGAAUAAACCAAUAGCUUUGUACAUGCUGAA